rnacentral:rRNA from 1 species
CGAGCGAACGGAUAAGGAGCUUGCUCCUUUGAAGUUAGCGGCGGACGGGUGAGUAACACGUGGGUAACCUACCUAUAAGACUGGAAUAACUUCGGGAAACCGGAGCUAAUGCCGGAUAACAUUUGGAACCGCAUGGUUCUAAAGUAAAAGAUGGUUUUGCUAUCACUUAUAGAUGGACCCGCGCCGUAUUAGCUAGUUGGUAAGGUAACGGCUUACCAAGGCAACGAUACGUAGCCGACCUGAGAGGGUGAUCGGCCACACUGGAACUGAGACACGGUCCAGACUCCUACGGGAGGCAGCAGUAGGGAAUCUUCCGCAAUGGACGAAAGUCUGACGGAGCAACGCCGCGUGAGUGAUGAAGGUUUUCGGAUCGUAAAACUCUGUUAUUAGGGAAGAACAAAUGUGUAAGUAACUGUGCACAUCUUGACGGUACCUAAUCAGAAAGCCACGGCUAACUACGUGCCAGCAGCCGCGGUAAUACGUAGGUGGCAAGCGUUAUCCGGAAUUAUUGGGCGUAAAGCGCGCGUAGGCGGUUUCUUAAGUCUGAUGUGAAAGCCCACGGCUCAACCGUGGAGGGUCAUUGGAAACUGGGAAACUUGAGUACAGAAGAGGAAAGUGGAAUUCCAUGUGUAGCGGUGAAAUGCGCAGAGAUAUGGAGGAACACCAGUGGCGAAGGCGACUUUCUGGUCUGUAACUGACGCUGAUGUGCGAAAGCGUGGGGAUCAAACAGGAUUAGAUACCCUGGUAGUCCACGCCGUAAACGAUGAGUGCUAAGUGUUAGGGGUUUCCGCCCCUUAGUG